UGAAGGAUGGCGUUGAAGCUCGUUUUUUUUUUUUAGCACAGUGUCCAAAGACUGCGUGGCCUCACAUUGUUCCAACUCCGUUAUUAUGUUUGCUGAUGACACGACAGUAGUAGGCCUGAUUACCAACAAGGAUGAGACGGCCUACAGGGAGGAGGUAGGCACUAUGACGGUGUGGUGCCAGGUAAACAACCUCUCUCUCAAAGUCAGAAAAGCAAAGGAGCUGAUUGUGGACUUCAGGGGGAACUAGGCUGUGCACGCCCACAUGGAAACCGUGGUGAAGAAGGCACGACAAUGACUUGUCAACCUCAGGAUUCGGAAGAAAUUGGGCCUGUCCCUGAGGUCCCUCACAGCCUCGUACGGCAACUCCACCGCCGUGGACCGCAAGGUGCUACAGAGGGUGGUACGCUCAGCUGAACGUACUGUACCAUUGGUUGCACACUGUCUGCCUUCCAGGACACCUAAAACACCAGGUGUCGCAGGAAGGCCAAGAAGAUCAUCAGGGACCCCUCUGGUUACCAUGAUGACAAUCCUGUGGGUUUCAACUGUAAAACGUCCAUAGAUUACUUUUUUCAAAUCCAAUGUAUUUUCAAUGUAGAUUCCACAUCACAAUAUAUAGACAAGUUUUGUUGAAACAACGUUGAUUCAACCAGUUUGUGCUCAGUGGGUUAUGUCUGUGUGCUCUACCAAAUGGGGAUCACGUUAGAGGAAUUGUAGUUUAGUCCUGGGCAUUUAACAACCUAUCAGUAUGUUGUGGGUGUAUUACAGAACAUUUCUGUUGAUGUUCUGUCUGUGCUUUAGUUUGGAGACGUGGGUGCACAGGGUCCCCACGGUGGUCGGGGGAAGCGUGGGCCAGGGGGCGAGCCUGGACGCACAGGCCCAGUCGGAACUAAGGGCGUCCGGGGUGAUGGAGGACCAGUCGGGUUUCAGGGUCCGCCAGGGCCAUCGGGCCCAACACUCCCCGCUCAACACGUGAUUGAGGUCUGCAAGAGAGUGGUGCUGGAACAGAUGUCUACCUUUGCCAACUCUGUGAAGAGGACAUGUGCUGGCGUGUGCCCACUCUACGGGGACGUCCCCUUGGGUGCCCCCGGUCCCACAGGACAGAAGGGAACACCGGGACCUCCAGGCGGUAAUGGUAUUGACGGUAUGAAUGGAGAGAUUGGACAACCAGGAUUCUAUGGGGAGGCAGGAGACGCAGGCAAACAAGCCAGGUGAUCAAUGAGACGAAGGAGACGAGGGAGCAAAGGGCCAUGGCCUACCUGGCUAUAUCGGAGACCAGGGACCAAAGAGCCAUGGCCUACCUGGCUAUAUCGGAGACCAGGGACCAAAGGGCCAUGGCCUACCUGGCUAUAUCGGAGACCAGGGACCAAAGGGCCAUGGCCUACCUGGCUAUAUAUGAUUAUUCAGACGAUAAAAAGGAUGCAACGUGAAAUGUGACGUUACCCUUUGGUCCCUGGUCUCCGAUAUAGCCAGGUAGGCCAUGGCCCUUUGGUCCCUGGUCUCCGAUAUAGCCAGGUAGGCCAUGGCCCUUUGGUCUACCUGGCUAUAUCGGAGACCAGGGACCAAAGGGUAACGUCACAUUUCACGUUGCAUCCUUUUUAUCGUCUGAAUAAUCAUUUACAGCUUAUCAAAGGAAAUCCAACAAUAGUUUUGACAGGCCCAGUUCUAUUGUAAUUAUUAUAUAUUGUAACAACAGAUGCUGGUUUCUUGGUAAGUAGAAGGGUGCAUGUUGAAUAAUUUCCUUUUUCCAAUGCAAAUGGACAUGGAAAGUCAACAUAAAGUCUACUGCAAACUCUCAAAGCUGUGUAGUAGUUGGUAGGUACAGUCCUUAUUUACCCACUAUUAGCUAACAGCCAUUUCCCCUCCUUUACCCACCAGGCCAACGUGGAAGACCUGGUAGAGCCUUCAAUGGCACACCAGGACGAGAGGGCGAGAGAGGCCAUGUAGGCCGGCCUGGACUAAGAGGUCACCCAGGACUACGAGGAGUCCCAGGUGUGUGUCAGGCCACUGGGUGUGCUCUGCUAAACAACAACACAACCAAUGGAUCACAUCAGAAUGCACCCCAGAGGUUGAGAAGACACCCAUAGAGGCAAAGAGGAAACUUUUGACCAAGCUGCAUGGAUGUAUCAUGAAAGGAGGAGUGGGGGAGGGGUGGAUUGGGAGAGAGAGGAGAUUUUUUGUUAAUAAAUGUAUUAAAAUCAAAGUCAAAAUGCUUCAAUGUAAAUAUGCACCCAAUCUCCACUGCGAAAGACUGAGAUUCACCCAUUUUACUUUCUUGAACAAAUCUGCUCUAGAAACUUGUACUGUAGGCCUUAAAACAACAUCCCAUUCUCAUGGUUCAUUUGAAAAAUACACCAAUAGCUAUAUAUUAUGUUAAAAUGCUUUGAUUUGAAAGUUUAUUUGACACAUUUUAUUUAAACUGGUCCUAGUUGUCUUCAAAUGUCACUGAUCUUUAUAAUAAAAGCAGAAAAAGUUUUUACUAACUUAUUUUACUGUAACAAUUCCUCCACUGUUUUCUUUUUUAUUAUGAUAUAUCAUUGAGAACAUUAUAUUAUUAUAGAAUACAAAAUCAAGUGUACAAUUCUUAAUUGUAAUUCACAAAUUGUUCAGCAAAGUGUUUAUCACAAUUCUGUUGAAGCAUGCUAGCUACUUAAAGCAAUAACAGUUACUGUUGGCUAAUGGUUGCUGUUAUGGCUAGCACUUACUGUUAGCCAUUGGUUGCUCUUUUGGCUAGCAGCUAAUGUUAGCCAAUGGUUACUGUUAUGGCUAGCAGCUACUGAUAGCCAACGGUUUGUGUUAUGGCUAGCAGCCAAUGAUUACUCAUCUGGCAUGCAGCUACCCUUAGCCAAUGGUUACUGUUAUGGCUAGCAGCAUACUGUUAUAGUCGAAUGUCUUUUCAAAAUAACAGUUUGUGUCAGUCUGUGCCUAAUGUCAGUUGUGAAGUCAUGCGUUAUUUGAUUACGUUUUUGUAUGCCUUGUUACUAGCAGGUUUAAGUGUCAUCUAGAAGGCAUAAUGUUGGUUCAUUAUGAAGUAACCAACAAAACGACCUCUUGUAGUGGAAAGAUCUGGAACAUAAAUGUGAAUAAAAAAGAACAGUACACAUUGUGUGCCUGUUUUUGAUUGUGUUUCAGGCCUAGACAGUUAUCGCAUGACAUGCAUUAUUCUAUAUCUGGUAGAUUGAGGCUUGUUAAAUUCAUGAGUCCCAUGUGUUUUAUUUAUAAUUCUGUAAUGAGACAAUGUCUCAAUGCCUGUACAUUUCACAAGAUGUUUGCUUGCAUAUCUUUAAGUGAAAACAUAUGGUUAUGAUUGUAGACAAACAUGAAAACGAAUCAUAACUCCCACAACAUCAACAAGUCUGUUCUUAUGUUUGAGAAUGAAUUAACAGCUGUGUUGGAUGUGCUUCUGUUUUGAAAUCUGUCUUUCGCUCACAUGCAAAAU